AUUGAACGCUGGCGGCAUGCUUUACACAUGCAAGUCGAACGGUAACAGGUUAAGCUGACGAGUGGCGAACGGGUGAGUAAUGCAUCGGAACGUGCCCGGUCGUGGGGGAUAACGCAGCGAAAGCUGCGCUAAUACCGCAUACGAUCUGAGGAUGAAAGCGGGGGACCGUAAGGCCUCGCGCGAUCGGAGCGGCCGAUGUCAGAUUAGGUAGUUGGUGGGGUAAAGGCUCACCAAGCCAACGAGCUGUAGCUGGUCUGAGAGGACGACCAGCCACACUGGGACUGAGACACGGCCCAGACUCCUACGGGAGGCAGCAGUGGGGAAUUUUGGACAAUGGGCGAAAGCCUGAUCCAGCAAUGCCGCGUGCAGGAAGAAGGCCUUCGGGUUGUAAACUGCUUUUGUACGGAGCGAAAAGGCCUCCUCUAAUACAGGGGGCUCAUGACGGUACCGUAAGAAUAAGCACCGGCUAACUACGUGCCAGCCGCCGCAGUAA
rnacentral:rRNA from 1 species